GAUACGGCCAUAUCUACUGAAACGCACCGGAACCCAUCAGAACUCCGAAGUUAAACCAGUAUGAGCUUAAUCAGUACUAAGAAGGGCGACCACUUGGG
rnacentral:rRNA from 1 species